rnacentral:rRNA from 1 species
CAGUCGCCGCGGGAAUACGAAGGGUGCAAGCGUUACUCGGAAUUACUGGGCGUAAAGCGUGCGUAGGUGGUGGUUUAAGUCCGUUGUGAAAGCCCUGGGCUCAACCUGGGAAUUGCAGUGGAUACUGGGUCACUAGAGUGUGGUAGAGGAUAGUGGAAUUUCCGGUGUAGCAGUGAAAUGCGUAGAGAUCGGAAGGAACAUCUGCGGCGAAGGCGACUAUCUGGGCCAACACUGACACUGAGGCACGAAAGCGUGGGGAGCAAACAGGAUUAGAUACCCCUGUAGUCCCUGUCUCUUAUAC